CCUACGGGAGGCAGCAGUAGGGAAUCUUUCACAAUGGGCGAAAGCCUGAUGGAGCAACGCCGCGUGCAGGAUGAAGGCCUUCGGGUUGUAAACUGCUUGUAUAAGCGAGACAUAUGAUGGUAACUUAUGAAUAAGGAUCGGCUAACUACGUGCCAGCAGCCGCGGUCAUACGUAGGCUCCGAGCAUUAUCCGGAGUGACUGGGUGUAAAGAGUUGCGUAGGUGGCAUAAUAAGUAGCUAGUGAAAUCUGGUGGCUCAACCAUUCAGACGAUUAGCGAAACUGUUAAGCUCGAGACCGUUAGGGGUAACUGGAAUUUCUAGUGUAGGAGUGAAAUCCGUAGAUAUUAGAAGGAACACCAAUAGCGUAGGCAGGUUGCUGGGACGGUUCUGACACUAAGGCACGAAAGCGUAGGGAGCAAAAGGGAUUAGAUACCCGUGUAGUC
rnacentral:rRNA from 1 species